AAGUCGUAACAAGGUUUCCGUAGGUGAACCUGCGGAAGGAUCAUUCAUAAUCAAGUGUUUUUAUGGCACUUUCAAAAAUCCAUAUCCACCUUGUGUGCAAUGUCAUCUCACUGGAGGUCAACGGCUGUAAAAAUCCGUUGGUCACCUUUGGGAUUUAUAUCUACUCAGAACUUUAGUGAUUUUGUCUGAAACAUAUUAUGAAUACUUAAUUCAAAAUACAACUUUCAACAACGGAUCUCUUGGCUCUC
rnacentral:misc_RNA from 2 species